ACGGAUAUUAUGCGACACUUGGCCCUUUCUCCGAAUCUCCUCGUCAUAAAGAAUCUCCUCUUUCCCUCCAUUCCCCAUCUCGUAAGAAACGGGAGGUACGGACAACUUGGCCGGAGCCUGUCCAAUGGUUGUGCUCCGGCUCUCUCCUCCCCCACCACCGUCAAGAAACCCCACCGACCUUCUGUUCCAUCUCCCUCCCUCGUUUCCCGCACUCGGAUCCCUUCGACUCCCUCCCCCCAACCGGCCCCCACACUUCUCAACUCUCAAGAACCUCCCGUCUGCUCCUGAUCGCUCGUGGAGGCGCCCGUUUUCCCCCCUUCCUCCGAGGCCCACCGCAAGGACGGCGUCCGACGGCGCCCGCUGCGGCGGAUCUGAUGAGGAACUGCGGUGCCCUGGUCCUCGUCCCGGAGGGGAUGCAGCGGAGGGUGGAAGACCACCCGGUGCUCCGCCAGCUCAUCGAGAUCGUCAUGGAUUUGGAGUGCAGCCCCUCGCCCGUUUCCCCUCCGGCGACUUUUUCCUCCCUGACCGCAACAUCUCCGACCAAGAUCUCCACCACGCCACUUCCAAACCCACCCAAGAAGCGAAAAAGGUGGUGGACUUCGCUGUGGACAACCGUGAAGGGAUUAGUCGGACUUUGCAUCGGAUUAGGGCUAUCAGCAACCGAAAGGGCGCGAUCAUUAGCCUCACAUGCCAGGUGGGGCGCGCAGUAUCUUGAAGUGCCAAUAUGUUGCGCGAUUUGGUGAAGAAUAGGGGCUCUCCGUUGCUCAUUGGUCCUCUGGGAGUUUGGAAGAGCACAAUUAUAAUGUUUCUGUCUUUCUUAAUGCAAAUUAUAGGGUUUCAUCCACUGAGAUAAUGUAUCAAUGUUAUAGCCGGCGAUCUUUGGGUAUCAAAAUGAGGUUCAAUUAACCUGGUUUGCUUUCGGAGGAGAAAUAGCCCGAUGCUUGCAGAUGAUUAUAAGAGAGGAGUCUUGACAGUUGACACCUCAAAUGAAAUAGGUGGAGAUGGUUAUAUUCCUCAUGCUGGUAUUCACAGUGCUCCUAGAUUGCAAGUACCUAAUUCUGACAUGCAGCACAAGUGGUACCUUAGGUGAUGAAGAGGCUAGCAGGAGAGGAGCCCAAAAGACUGUUCUGGAAUGAAAAGGACCUUCAACAUUUACAUGUGGUGCAGAGAUCAUGUUGAAGACUGAAUUAUGAGUCCAUCGUAGCUUGGAGGCUAUAGUGGUAGCUCUUCUUCCAGGUCUCUAGUUUGUUAUCGCUCCUUGAUGAGGCUGUUAUGUGUGAAAUAAUGGUCAGUGGUCCCAAUAAUCUUUUCACAAAUUCAGAUGGUUUUAUAGUUUUCUUAAUACAGGUCCAUCUCCAACCUUUGAAGUUCGCACGAUAGAGCAAAAAAGGAUGAUAAACGGUGAUAAGGUAGUCAAUCAUGAGUUUGCAGGAAAAAGUGUAGAGAGAUCUCAUCAAGUUCCAAUGGGCUUUCACCUCAUGUUUAUGGGGUAGAAUGUCUUGUUUUAGUGUAUCUUGUCUUUGAACUCAUUUUUGCCAUCUUUAUUUAUAAUUUGAAUUUCUCAUGCCUGGUGGAUGGCUUUGCCUCUUGCUGAUUUGAUUCUUAUUAUGUGACCAUAUUUUAGCAUUAUUCCAGAUCUCUUAAUGGAAGUUUUGUUAUUUUUGAUGGCUAAAACUUGGCUUACUUUGUCAUACUCUUCUUCUGAUAAUUAUCAUAGCAACUUCACGGAGCUUAUUCGCUUCCUCUUGAUUUUGUUUUAUGUUUUAUAUGCCUCCUGUUUUUAUUUAGUUUCACAAUGUAGCGCAUCAUUUAUGGGUUUGUGAUGUAGUUUGAAACUUAGGUUCUUAAUAUGUACUAGAGAUGAUCAAAUGCCUAUAAGAUCUUUCCAUGCAUCUGGACUCAUUCUAAAUCUGGGUUCAAUCACUAGUUUUUAUGAGGUUAAAUUACAAAUCCAUAAGGAGGGUUUCUCUUUCUGUCACAAGAGUUGUUGCAGGUUUUGAUAUUGCCCAUUAGUUGCCUUGGCCAGAAAUUUGGAAGGGUUUAUAUUUGGUUGAGUGUUGGCUUUAGAGCUUUGAUAUAAUCGACGGAAUUUCAGCAUGCAAACUGCAGAUAGGCACAACACUUUCAGUCUGCAAAUUUGACUUCACGUCCUGAAAUCUAGCUUGGUUUGAGAAAUUAUUAUAACAUGAACCUUAGAUAGUUCUUAUCUUAUCGAGAAUCUUAUCGAGAACUGUCAUUCAUCCAUGCUUUAAUCCCAUAAUCAUCAGUAUUCUUCCCAAAUAAAAUUGAAGCACACAUUAUCAUGAAUGUUAUUUUUAAUCUUAUAUACAAGCAAAUAGCAUACUGCUGAUUUUAUUUGUAUCAAGGAUGACUUCACAAAGGAAUAUACUACCAAACUGAGCCUCUCUCAGUACAGGGAGGCUCCGUAUGGGUAGAAACCGCCUGAACUGCACUCAAAGUGCUGGAGCUAACCCAGUUCAAGCAAUUUGGGUGCAUAGCAAGGUCGGUUUGCAUUGAACUGGCCAUGAACCUCUCCCGAGCUGAUACAUUUGUCCAGAUAGAGCUCGGGGUGACUUUUUGAUCAUGUUUCUUACUCGUUUCCACCAUUGAAAGGUGGAAAUGAGAUGGAGGAAGAAAGAAGAUGGUAACCAUCAGUACAUUGAUCAUAAAGGAUUUGGAAUGGUCUUAAACCCAUUGAAAUACUUAAUUAGUUACAUACCGUCCUAAAAUCGAGAAAUAAUCCAAGUGUAUUAUCUCUGUUAAUCGAAUAGUAUAGUAGUAACACAUGCAUAUUAUCUUAAAAAUUUUAAAAAGAAAGGAAAAAAUUUUAGAAAUUAAAUAUAAAUAUUAUAUAAAGAAAAAAUUGCAAUCAGUUCAAGUCUUGAAGGUGGGGUGGGGGGAGGGGAAGGGGGGUGAGAAAAGAAAGAGAGCUAGACCUUGAGGGCAGAAUUUAAUAUCAUGGAGAAUGAGACUGGUAGAGAAGAUAACAAAUCAAUAAGGUUUGCAUAUGUGUUUCAUAUUCCAGCACUGAGUUUAGCACAAGCAUAUAAAGAGAUGAAAACCCUUAAAUGAGUGGUGUUAAAGUCUUAGAUUUAACUUUAAUUUCAAAACCAGAGAAUUUCUUCAGACAUGCAAAUAAGAUACACAUCUCCAAUCAUUGACUAAAGCACAAUACAAGUAACAACUCCCAUGAUUUGUCAAAAACAAAAUAAGUAACCAUAGUUUGUAUAUUCGUAUUAGUCAACAAGCAAAAACUUAGUUAUCAGAUAUUAUUAUCCUAAAACCUUGUCAAUCUAUACAAUUUAAGUAACAAAAUGAAAAAGAAAGUCUUAUCCUUUAGCACUGAUUAUUGUAAAUUACCCUAUUUCUUUUUCUUUUUUUGUUCACUAGUCAAAUGACGAUACUAUUUAUAAACUCUUUACAUUGAUCUACUAGUUGUAACUGUGGUACACUGCCUGUGUACUGGAUCUAUGAAUUUUAGCUGUCUAAUUGUUUUUCAAAUGCUAAUCUUAACAUUUAUAUAUGUUCCAUUUUUUUAGAUUCCAAUUUGUCUGUUUCAUUUGAUAAAUAUUCCUGUCUCUGAUUUCGACACAGAGAAAAUAAUGACUAGGAUAGUUAACUCAAUACUCCCAAUUCUACCAACUUCUUUCUUGUUAGUUAUCUUGUUAUGAUUUUUGAUUAAUUUCUUGAGGAUGUAUAGCAUUGCUGUUGAUGGACACACUUCUGUCACAGUGGACUCCAGUAUUAUCCUGCAAUGGUAUUCUUUGACAAAUGAACAAAUACAUUUAUCCCGUUCACCUUGCACUUCCGUUAGAUCUCACAAAGUUAUACCAACCCUGCAAAAUAUUUUACACCCUCACGGUAUCCUUUUUGGUUUCACUUGCAUGCUUGUAAUACUAUUUAUCUUGUGAAGCUUGUCAUAAUUCUUUGUAUUGGUGUCUUUUUCCCAAAGCAUUUUGACAAAUCAUCUCCAUUUUUUACUGUAACCUUGAUGAUCAGAAGACUUAAGCCAAUGUGGUAUAUUUAUUUAGCUAUUCUUUUCCCAAAAUAUCAUUCAAUUUUAACUAUUAUUUUCUUACUAGAGUCUUACUUAUUGUAUUUAUUUUUUUUGCUUCAUAUCCUUGAUCCUAACAUCUCCACAGCCUCCUCUUUUGGCUUUUGAGUAUGUUUCAGAGUUUCUUUGUUUUCUAGCUACCUAUCACUUGUUGAUCUCUUUACGUUGUUAGCCUUUUAGAAUAUGGCAUGGCAUUUCUGGACCCUCAUUAUCUGUCAUUAAAUUCUCUGACUCUAGCAACCUGCCAUUUAGUAUCUAUCUUUCUCUGACUCUAGCAACCUGCCAUUUAGUAUCUAUCUUUCUCAUUAGCGUAUCGUAGAAAUUAUCAGUGUGUAACGAAAAUUCUGCAUCCUGCCAAACUAUCCUUGGGCAUUUUAUUUUCAUCCAUUCCUGCUGUUCAAGUAGAGCUCUAAAAUAACUUUUCUUGAUGUUCAGAUUUUUUUUCUGUCAUAGCUUCAUGCUUAUUAACUAUUUCACAAUCUUAAUCAAGUAAGGUGAUCUAUCCUAAAAAGCUCAAAAUAUUUUUUUCUCAUUUAAUUAAGCGCAAGUCAUGUAAAAAAAUUCUUGAAACAGGUAUCCUCUAUGUAUAUCUAUUACUUUUGUCUAAAAAAAGAAAAAAGAAAUCUUUAUUUGGUCUGUUCGGGUGCUGCAUCAAUAUUAUCAUGUCUGUUGACCUUAGUUUAUGCACCAAAUAAGUGGUGUUUGAGGCUAGUAAAUAUGCAGGCUGGCAAAGAAAUCUGAGCUUAGGACGUAUAUUUUUUAGCAUCCUUAAACUAUCUGGGUAACUAAAAGUUUUUCUAAAUGCCUGUUCAAUUGGGUCGCAACUUGGGUUGGUCUCGAUCCAAAGUUGACCAGCCCAACCCACUUGUUUGGUUGGGGUGCGAUGAGCUUUUAUGAGCUUGAGUUGGGUGAAGGCUCAAAAAUUCCAAAUGACCCGAAAUUGGAUUGGCAAUCUAAGCCCAACCUGACCCAGCCUGAUCAAUAAGAAUUUUUUUUUUUUUUAUGUUUCACAUAAAAUACUGAUAUAUUUCAUUUGCCUAUAUGCUUAGCCCUCUUUAAGUUGUAGAAUUUUGUAAGUGCAGCAAAAUGAUAACCCAACUGCCCCAACACUAAGCUAACAAAAAUAUCUGAAACUUUUUCCUAAUCUCAUAUUACCUGUACAGUCAACCUGACCAAUUAAUCUGAACCAACUCAACCUAACCUCAUAGUAACCUUACCCAAGUCAAAUUUUGGUUUGAGAUGGGGCUGGGUUGGGCUGUUGGAGAAAUCCCAACCUAAGGUUAGUUUAGGUUGGGUUAGAGCUAGGAGAUGUUAAGCUAGGAGGCACGGAUGUGGAUAUGGGAUACAUAUACGAAUAUACGAUAUGCCAAUGCAACAAAUCUUGAAAAAGUAUGACAUGACACGUUUGGGAUACAAUGAGAAGUAUUUUUUUUUACUUAUGUGCUAAAAAAUAUCCAAAAAAUGUCAUUACUUUCUUAUAAAGCAACAUAUAAUAGACAACAUCAUAAAUUCUAAGAUAGUUCAGAAAAUGAAAAUUCAAUAAAUUAUAAACAUAAUAAAAAUAAAUCUAGUAAAGAUAUAUAAGUUGCUAAGAAUGGAUAUGAGUGAAAACGAGGGUAGCAAAUAACUUACUUUAAGUUCGCUGUGGAUGAAAAUCCAAAUUCAAAACCUGUUUGAUGUGAGCUUGGCAACCCACUAAUAUAUCAAUAUUUUUCCUAGGAGUAUCCUGGAAUUAUCUUGGAAGUAUACGGACGUAUUCCAAGAGUAACUAGGAAGUAUUCAAAUGUAUCCUAGAAGUAUCCGAGCCUAGCCUGCCUUAAUUAGAAAAAAAAUUCAAUAUAGUUCUUUCCCAUAUAUAUCACAUAUAAAACCAUAUCAGGACAUGGGUGGUGUUUUGGAGUAUCCAUGCUUCCUAGAUACAAAGUUAAGGACUAGCCUUCAACUUGACUCAACCAGCCUCAAGUGCACACCCAGUUUAAAUUCACACCACUAUCUUCCAAUGUUCCCAUGUUACCAAUGCUACAGUUCUCCCAGUAUAUGUGAAACUAUGACCAUCGCAAUUUUAAUUUGUUCUUUGUUCAACAACCUGGGAUUUCCUGCAUAUUGAAUGCAAUAUACUCUAGUCUGUUUUGUUUGUUAGUUGCCCUUUAAUAGGGAUCCUCAUUACAGGUGAAGAAAAACAUGUAUUUUUGCUGAUAUCUCUAGUUUCUCUUUUCCACUCUUCUCUUCUGUUUUUUUUUUUCCUUUUUCUGAAGAAGAUGCCUCCGGCUUAUCUCAAGAGUUGAACAAAUUUAAAGUGAUGCUUCACGGUGUUGGUUUGUUAAUAGUAAAUGAAAAAAGCUUUGCAAACAUAGAAUAGAUGAGUUUCUAGAGACCCAAGAACAAGCAAUAGUUUUUGCUUGUCCUAUUUUUUUGUUAUAAUUGCUCAACUUUAACAAUUGGCUAUUGGUUUCUUAGCAUUCUGACAAGUAUAAUUGCUGUCAUGUAUCAUUCUGUUAAUCUUCAGUCUGCUGAUAGGUUCUUCACCAUCUGCCCUUAUUUAAUGGUUGGAUUUUUCAGGAUGUUUUUUUUUUUUUUUUUUUAUUUUAUGAGAUUCCUUCUUGCUAAUCUAGAAAACCAAAAGGAAAAUCACUUAGAAAAUAUCUUGCACAGUCAUGAUAAAGCAGUUACUAUUCUAUGGACCCCACCAAUUAAUAGCUUCUAGGUUCUAAUGAAUCAUUAGAACAUUAUGAUGUAUGCUUAUUAUGUGGAUAUUCGCCAGUUAAUAUGAUACCAUCAUUAUCAUAUUUUGAAGCUGUAAUUAAUUGAAAGAAGCUCAAUUUGGAGCUUAUUGGUCGAGCAGUUGUUCUAGAUCACGGAGUCAUGCUCGUUGCAAGCAAUUAAGCAACUGGAAAUGGAAGAAAUAUUUGUGUGUACCAAUGAUAUAUGUGAAGCGGAUGCAUUUCUUUCCUUAUGCUCAAAGCUCAAGAAGAAUUCUCAUAUUCAAGCAUUUGCCAAAUCUCUCAACAAACCAAUCUUUGUGACAAAGAAAAACUCUAAGUGCAAAUAACAACGGCUUUUUGUGCCCUUAUGAAUUAACAUGUUGAAGGUUUCAAAGCUUGUGAAGCAGAAGAGAGUCAGUCUGUCAGAAAAGACUGAUGCUUCAGAGACUUUUAACAUGGAGAGGAACACAUUAAUUGCCAUCUUAAGAAGCAAGAUUGGCUAUUGAACAAGUUGUGAUUCCAAGAGGGGAGUCUGUACAGCUACUUCCAAGGCCAUCACACAGCAUAUCUUGUCAGACAGACAUAAUCAAAAGAUACAAACUAAAGUGGGAGUUAGUAGGUCAGGAGCCAGGUGUCUCUCUACGAAUCCUUCCCCUUCAGGCUUGGAUAGAAUCUUCCUGAUCUGGUUGUUAACAGUAGGAGCACAUUUGAGGAUUGUAGCAGCUCUGAUGGCUCAAGGAGUUCACAAAAUAUUGUGGCUAGCUUGCCUCUUCUCCCUGAAUGGUCAAAUAUUCUUACCUGUAUCAUUAUUUUCGAAACCAGAAUACCCAGGGUGCUUGUAUACUUUAAUCUUGUAACUGUUUCAUUGAAAUUAAUUUUUUAUCAUGACAUGGUUGAGGUGAAUUUUGUA